rnacentral:tRNA from 1 species
CGGGAUAUAGCUCAAUGGUAGAGCGUGUGCUUAGCAUGCGUAAGGUCCUGGGUCCAACUCCCAGUAUCUCCA